rnacentral:misc_RNA from 1 species
GUGAAUCAUCGAAUCUUUGAACGCAAAUUGCACUCUCUGGUAUUCCGGAGAGUAUGCCUGGUUGAGGGUCAGUUUAAAUAAAAAUCUGUGUGGUUGCUGCCUUUCGUGGUGACGCACCGGAUUUGGGUCGUCUUGCCUUCGGUUAAGUUACAUAAGAUUUUUCAUGAUUUUUUUCGAACGUAUUUAAAUGAUUUUUCUUACGUUUGCUAUUUCUAAUACUAG